CCUACGGGAGGCAGCAGUGAGGAAUAUUGGUCAAUGGACGAGAGUCUGAACCAGCCAAGUAGCGUGAAGGAUGACUGCCCUAUGGGUUGUAAACUUCUUUUAUAUGGGAAUAAAACGUUCCACGUGUGGGAUUUUGUAUGUACCAUAUGAAUAAGGAUCGGCUAACUCCGUGCCAGCAGCCGCGGUAAUACGGAGGAUCCGAGCGUUAUCCGGAUUUAUUGGGUUUAAAGGGAGCGUAGGUGGAUUGUUAAGUCAGUUGUGAAAGUUUGCGGCUCAACCGUAAAAUUGCAGUUGAAACUGGCAGUCUUGAGUACAGUAGAGGUGUGCGGAAUGCGUGGUGUAGCGGUGAAAUGCUUAGAUAUCACGAAGAACUCCGAUUGCGAAGGCAGUUCACUGGACUGCAACUGACACUGAGGCUCGAAAGUGUGGGUAUCAAACAGGAUUAGAUACCCUAGUAGUC
rnacentral:rRNA from 1 species